AGAGAGAGACAUGCGCGCAUAUCAAUAAGCGGAGGAAAAGAAACUAACAAGGAUUCCCUUAGUAACGGCGAGUGAAGCGGGAAGAGCUCAAAUUUGAAAUCUUCAAGGUUUUACCUUGACGAAUUGUAGUUUAAAGAAGUGUUCUCUGCUGAAGUUUUGGUAAAAGUUCUUUGGAAUAGGACAUCAUAGAGGGUGAGAAUCCCGUAUUUGACCAUUAUUUCAGCUUUGUGAUACACUUUCAAAGAGUCGGAUUGUUUGGGAAUGCAGUCCAAAAUGGGUGGUAAAUUUCAUCUAAAGCUAAAUAUUGGCGAGAGACCGAUAGCGAACAAGUACCGUGAGGGAAAGAUGAAAAGAACUUUGAAAAGAGAGUUAAACAGUACGUGAAAUUGUCAAAAGGGAAGCGUUUGACACCAGUGUUGUUUUCUCGAAAAUCAAUUAAAAAUGGCUCGAUUUUGUAUUGUUGAGACCUUAAAAGCUCACUGUACAUUUUUUCGUGUCUUUUUUAAUGCACUUUUCGUUUAACAAGUCAACAUCAGUUUCUUUUGUUGUAAAAGGGUCAUUGGAAGGUGGCUUUCUUUUCGGAGAAAGUGUUUAUAGCCUUUGGCCUCUGCAAUCGGAGAGACUGAGGUCUGCAGCGUAGACUCUUCGGGGUUAGAUACAUUUGUGCUAAGUUAUAGCUUUUUAUAGACAACUUGUUGACUAUAAUUAGUCUUGUAGCUUACUCGCUUAUGCUAUUUUACCUACGCUUAGGAUGUUGAGUCGUAGAGCACGCAG
rnacentral:rRNA from 1 species